CGGACGGGUGAGUAAUGUCUGGGAAACUGCCCGAUGGAGGGGGAUAACUACUGGAAACGGUAGCCAAUACCGCAUAACGUCGCAAGACCAAAGAGGGGACCUUCGGGCCUCUUGCCAUCGGAUGUGCCCAGAUGGGAUUAGCUAGUAGGUGGGGUAACGGCUCACCUAGGCGACGAUCCCUAGCUGGUCUGAGAGGAUGACCAGCCACACUGGAACUGAGACACGGUCCAG
rnacentral:rRNA from 1 species